AGCGAACGCUGGCGGCAGGCUUAACACAUGCAAGUCGAACGGGCACUUCGGUGCUAGUGGCAGACGGGUGAGUAACGCGUGGGAACGUACCUUUCGGUUCGGAAUAAUUCAGGGAAACUUGGACUAAUACCGGAUACGCCCUUCGGGGGAAAGAUUUAUCGCCGAUAGAUCGGCUCGCGUCUGAUUAGCUAGUUGGUGAGGUAAAGGCUCACCAAGGCGACGAUCAGUAGCUGGUCUGAGAGGAUGAUCAGCCACAUUGGGACUGAGACACGGCCCAAACUCCUACGGGAGGCAGCAGUGGGGAAUAUUGGACAAUGGGCGCAAGCCUGAUCCAGCCAUGCCGCGUGAGUGAUGAAGGCCUUAGGGUUGUAAAGCUCUUUUGUCCGGGAAGAUAAUGGCUGUACCGGAAGAAUAAGCCCCGGCUAACUUCGUGCCAGCCGCCGCCGUAAAAC
rnacentral:rRNA from 1 species